rnacentral:lncRNA from 1 species
AAGAAAUCAGAGAAGGACGUGAUGCGUUAGAGGCCGUCACAGUCAAGGGCAGCGCUGCUGGAGGACACUCAGCUCGUGGAGAGGAGGGAACCAGGGGAGGCUGAGACUCAGACUUAAGCCUGUCCCUCACUGCAGAUUUUGAACUGACAAAGAAGAACUGUAACUGAUUUCAAAGGUAUUUCCCUAGUACUAAUAACACAGAUCAAAUCAUUAAGUCCUCCGUGGAAAGAGUCUUAAAUAUAGAAAUCAUCACUUGCUGACCUUGACCAUAGAGUGAAUAGCUUCUAACGCUUUGUUUUCAACAUCUG